rnacentral:tRNA from 1 species
GGGUAGUUAGCUUAUAUGGUAAAAGCGCGUGGUUGAAGCCCAUGAGAUAGGAGAUCGUUACUUCUACUACCCACCA